ACCCCCACCUCAUCCAAAACCGGCCCCCCCUCCUUCGCCAUCCCAUCCGUGCACCCCACCCGAGUGCCAUCACAUACCCAACCCCCACCACCACCCUCCACCCCAC
rnacentral:rRNA from 1 species